UAUGAAAAUUUUAGGAAUAUGGACAACAUUUAUAUUCCCUACUCUCAUUAACGUUUCAAAGCCCACAUUUGACCCAACCCACAGUCAAGAUCUAGCCCAAACCAUCCCACAGCCCAUUAAUAUUUCCUAACUCUAAUUCCUAAACUGUCAUUUACAAUCCAUCAAGAUAUAAAACCAACGAUCCAACAGCCCAUUAAUAUUUCCUAAACUCUCAUUUUCUGUUGCUUUGCUUGCUCCGAUUUGAGCUAUCCCCAAAAUCUGUUUCGCAUCGCUCGCUCUGAAUUGGAAUACUCCAUUUGAUCUUGCUACUAUGUCAGGUUUUUAGAUUUUGUCGAAUCUUUUCAUUCUGAUACUCAGUUUCUUGGAUUUUUCCGUGCUAAUCCCCAUACCUGACUAGCAAGGAGUUGAUUAUGGCAGAUUUAUAGUCUCCCGAUUGUGAGUUUGGCCUAAGAUUUAAGAGAUCUAUCUCCACGCUGGGCAUCUGUACUUCUAUAGUACAGAUGGCUUUAGUGGGUAUGUUUCUUAGUCUGUGUCCCUCUCAACACCUAUCAAACCAGGGUAAAGCAACUGACAUGCUUACUUGUUCAUAUGUCAAAGGAUUGUAAGAUUUUGCACGUUGGAUUUGGUUAUCUUCUUUGAUGUAUUUUAGAUCUAUGAUGAUUCAUGUUCUAAGCCUCGAUCUGUUGUUCUUGAUAGAACAAUCUUGAUCUUGGGUUGUAGUUUUUAUAUAUGAGAUAUGAAUAUCUGCAUAUGUGGUUGUUUCUCUUUUGAUUGCCUGGCCUUGAUUCUAUGAUUAAUAGUUGAUUUUUAACGUGCAGAUCUGCUAAGUUGGGCAUGUAUUUGUGCGACUCAAUCGGUGGUUAAGCUUGUUGAAGAUGGGAAAAUCAAGCUCAAGCUUUAAUCUGCCAUCCUUGAUAGAAAAUUUUUUAUUUACAUGAUAGGUUGCAGUGAUAAAAGAUGCAGAUUACAAGAGUAAAACAUAGUUCAGAAAACACUAUACCAUGAAGGACUUGGACAAAUGUGAUUUCUCUCCAUUUUGUGGAGGACAUUUGCAGGACAGAUAUGAAGUAAGUUGUUUGAAAAUAAUUUUUAGCUUUGAUAUAUGACACCCCCUUCUGGUAGUGCAUCUGUCUUUGAGUAUCAUUUAUAGAUCUGCUAAGUUAGCAUGUAUGUUAUUGCAGCUGUUGUUACAGCUUGUUAAAGAUUUGAAAUUCAUGACUUAAGUCUUGAUCCGGCUUCCAUGAUAGAAAAUUUUGUCUACAUGAUAGGCAUAUCUGAAAUUUAAUUGUCUUUGUGGUUGUGUCCGAUUUACGCAUGAUUUCUUGAUUAAUAGUUGGUGGCUUUGUGCUAGAUCUGCUGUGUGUGUAUGUGUUUGGAUCAAUUGUUGCUACAGCUUGGUUAGUUCUGAUAGUUUGAAACUUAGGAGAAAUUUUGUAACACUAACUUCUUUCCCUCAAUUUCCACUUUAAAAACUUGAGAAAUAGUGGGGCAGAUUUUCAAGCUCCUCUGGCUACUCUGUUCCCCAUUAUUCUCCAUCAUUAAAAGAGAAGCACCUAAUAUUGAGUUGUUUUAGCACUAAAAUCAGCUGGUCAAUUUCUAAAUUGAGAAAAAUACAAGAAAACAGAAAACCUCCUAUCAAUAACAUCGUAGCUGACAUAAUAGUUCAUCGGAGCAAAAAUUUUAAAAAUUGAAGAUCUUUAGAUGCUGCAUGAAGCGACCUCAUAUCUCACAAUCUGUUACAACUACUAAAUCAGUUCAUUCUACUAAUAGGGUUUAUUUGCUGCUGGAGCUGCAGUCUGUUACAGUUACUAAAUCAGAACAUUCAUACUAUUAGAAGGGUUUACUUGCUGUUGGAGCUGCUGACAGAGCUGCUGAUUGAGCUGCCACUGGAGUUGCUGCCGAAGCUGCUGCUGUAGUUGCCGCUGGAGCUGCUGACGGAGCUGCUGAUAGAGCUGCCGCUGGAGUUGCCGCCGGAACUGCUGCUGGUGCUGCUCCAGAAGAUCGCUUUGCUUUUUUUCUUUCAAUUUUUCUGUUGUUUUUGAUGCUGAAAGAAUCAAGAUAACUCAUACGACUUGCUAUUGGUUUCGCUGGAUAGAAAUUUUUUGGAUGCGCGGGAUCUAUAGCCACAGUAGUAUGUUCCUUUUUAACAUGCUUGUCCAUCUCCAUGGUACCUCCUGGAAUUGGCUUUUUACAUCUAUUGCACGUAGUAUUUAGUCAUGGAAAAAGAACAAUUAAGGUUUAUUACCCAUUGGUCACAGAAGAAGCAAAGGAAAAGAAAGCAGCCUAUUCUAGGAGUGCAACAAGUAAAGCAUACUAUAGUCUUAUUCCCUAAGCCCAUUAGAGUAUAUUCCCCCAUCAGUGUUCUGAAUCAAAGGAAAAGAAAGCAGCCUUCUAGUCGUGCCUAAAGUAAAGCAUCCUGAAUUUAUUCCCUAAGUCCAUUAGAUUAUUCCAUCUGCUACAUUGGAAUUCACAGCCAAAUGUGUCUUUGUUUCAAUCACUGUGUAAGCCCCAUACAAAGGAUAGGUUGGUUCGCUUGAAGAGAAUCUUUUCUAUGAUUAGACUUGACGAUGUUGUGUAUGAACAGGAUCAGAAUCUUUGUAUGGGGCUUACACAGUGAUUGAAACAAAGACACAUUUGGCUGUGAAUUUCAAUGUAGCAGAUGGAAUACUCUAAUGGGCUUAGGGAAUAAAUUUAGGAUGCUUUACUUUUAGCACUCCUAUAAUAGGCUGCUUUCUUUUCCUUUGCUUUUUCUGUGAUCAAUGGGUAAUAAAACUUAAUUGUUCUUUUCCUAGGACUAAAUACUACGUGCAAUAGAUGUAAAAAGCCAAUUCCAUGAGGUACCAUGGAGAUGGACAAGCAUGUUAAAAAGGAACAUACCACUGUGGCUAUAGAUCCCGCGCAUCCAAAAAAUUUCUAUCCAGCGAAACCAAUAGCAAGUCGUAUGAGUUAUCUUGAUUCUUUCAGCAUCAAAGACAACAGAAAAAUUGAAAGAAAAAAAGCAAAGCGAUCUUUUGGAGCAGCACCAGCAGCAGUUCCGACGGCAACUCCAGCGGCAGCUCUGUCGGCAACUCCAGCGGCAGCUCUAUCAGCAGCUCCAGCAGCAAGUAAACCCUUCUAAUAGUAUGAAUGUUCUGAUUUAGUAGCUGUAACAGACUGCAGCUCCAGCAGCAAAUAAAUCUUAUUAGUAGAAUGAACUGAUUUAGUAGUUGUAACAGAUUGUGAGAUAUGAGGUCGCUUCAUGCAGCAUCUAAAGAUCUUCAAUUUUUAAAAUUUUUGCUCCGAUGAACUAUUAUGUCAGCUACGAUGUUAUUGAUAGGAGGUUUUCUGUUUUCUUGUAUUUUUCCCAAUUUGGAAAUUGGCCAACUGAUUUUAGUGCUAAAACAACUCAAUAUUAGGUGCUUCUCUUUUAAUGAUGGAGAAUAAUGGGGAACAGAAUAGCCAGAGGAGCUUGAAAAUCUGUCCCACUAUUUCUCAAGUUUUUAAAGUGAAAAUUGAGGGAAAGAAGUUAGUGUUACAAAAUUUCUCUUAAGUUUCAAACUAUCAGAACUAAUCAAGCUGUAGUAACAAUUGAUCCAAACACAUACACACACAGCAGAUCUAGCACAA